UCCCUGGUGGUCCAGUGGUUAAGGCUCUACGUUCCCAACGCAGGGGGCCCGGGUUCCACUUCUGGUCGGGGAA
rnacentral:tRNA from 1 species